GAUGAACGCUAGCGGCAGGCUUAAUACAUGCAAGUCGUACGGGAUCCGAGGUAGCAAUACUUUGGUGGCGACCGGCGCACGGGUGAGUAACACGUAUGCAACCUACCCUGUACAGGGGGAUAACCCGGAGAAAUUCGGACUAAUAUCCCAUACAAUUAUUGGAGGGCAUCCUUUGAUAAUUAAAGCUCAGGCGGUAUAGGAUGGGCAUGCGGAACAUUAGCUAGUUGGUAGGGUAACGGCCUACCAAGGCUACGAUGUUUAGGGGACCUGAGAGGGUUAUCCCCCACACUGGUACUGAGACACGGACCAGACUCCUACGGGAGGCAGCAGUGAGGAAUAUUGGUCAAUGGGCGCAAGCCUGAACCAGCCAUCCCGCGUGAAGGAAGAAGGCCCUAUGGGUUGUAAACUUCUUUUCCAGGGGGUGAAUAAUUCCGAUGUAUCGGGAGAUGACGGUACCCUGGGAAUAAGCAUCGGCUAACUCCGUG
rnacentral:rRNA from 1 species